rnacentral:rRNA from 1 species
GACGAACGCUGGCGGCGCGCUUAACACAUGCAAGUCGAACGGAAAGGCCUGCUUUCCCUUGUGGAUUGCGGGUGCUCGAGUGGCGAACGGGUGAGUAACACGUGAGUGAUCUGCCCCCAACUUGGGUAUAAGCCUGGGAAACUGGGUCUAAUUCCCGAUAGGACUGCAGGGUGGUGCCUGUGGUGGAAAACGAUUUUCUAGUGGUUGGGGAUGAGCUCGCGGCCUAUCAGCUUGUUGGUGGGGUAAUGGCCUACCAAGGCGGCGACGGGUAGCCGGCCUGAGAGGGUGGACGGCCACAUUGGGACUGGGAUACGGCCCAGACUCCUACGGGAGGCAGCAGUGGGGAAUAUUGCACAAUGGGCGGAAGCCUGAUGCAGCGACGCCGCGUGGGGGAUGACGGCCUUCGGGUUGUAAACUCCUUUCGACCGCGAGGAAGCCACCUGGUUGGAAGGGUGGUGACGGUAGUGGUAGAAGAAGCACCGGCUAACUACGUG